rnacentral:rRNA from 1 species
GACGAACGCUGGCGGCGUGCUUAACACAUGCAAGUCGAACGGAAAGGCCCUGCUUUUGUGGGGUGCUCGAGUGGCGAACGGGUGAGUAACACGUGAGUAACCUGCCCUUGACUUUGGGAUAACUUCAGGAAACUGGGGCUAAUACCGGAUAGGAGCUCCUGCUGCAUGGUGGGGGUUGGAAAGUUUCGGCGGGUGGGGAUGGACUCGCGGCUUAUCAGCUUGUUGGUGGGGUAGUGGCUUACCAAGGCUUUGACGGGUAGCCGGCCUGGGAGGGUGACCGGCCCCAUUGGGACUGAGGUACGGGCCAGACUCCUGCGGGAGGCAGGAGUGGAGAAUAUUGCACGAUGGGCGGAAGCCGGAUGCAGCAACGCCGGGUGCGGGAUGACGGCCUUCGGGUUGUAAACCGCUUUCGCCUGGGACGAAGCGUGAGUGACGGUAAUGGGUAAAGAAGCACCGGCUAACUACGUG